UACGAAGGGUGCAAGCGUUACUCGGAAUUACUGGGCGUAAAGCGUGCGCAGGCGGUCUGUUAAGACCGAUGUGAAAUCCCCGGGCUUAACCUGGGAGCUGCAUUGGUGACUGGCAGGCUUUGAGUGUGGCAGAGGGAGGUAGAAUUCCACGUGUAGCAGUGAAAUGCGUAGAGAUCGGCAGGAACACCCAGGGGGAAACCAGUCGACUGGGCAGCACCUGACGCUGAGGUGCGAGAGCGUGGGGAGCGAACCGG
rnacentral:rRNA from 1 species